rfam:Nicotiana attenuata strain TT chromosome 2, whole genome shotgun sequence.
AUACCAUGGUGUGGAUAUAUAACUAGCAUCCCUUUGAAUCGUUCCCAUGUUUCAUGCAGUGUUUCCAUUGGUCUCUGUUUGAAACUCAAAAUUUCAUCAAUUUGUUG